AUGAACGCUGGCGGCGUGCUUAACACAUGCAAGUCGAACGAAGCACUUUAUUUGAUUUCCUUCGGGACUGAUUAUUUUGUGACUGAGUGGCGGACGGGUGAGUAACGCGUGGGUAACCUGCCUUGUACAGGGGGAUAACAGUUGGAAACGGCUGCUAAUACCGCAUAAGCGCACAGCAUCGCAUGAUGCAGUGUGAAAAACUCCGGUGGUAUAAGAUGGACCCGCGUUGGAUUAGCUAGUUGGUGAGGUAACGGCCCACCAAGGCGACGAUCCAUAGCCGACCUGAGAGGGUGACCGGCCACAUUGGGACUGAGACACGGCCCAAACUCCUACGGGAGGCAGCAGUGGGGAAUAUUGCACAAUGGGCGAAAGCCUGAUGCAGCGACGCCGCGUGAGCGAAGAAGUAUUUCGGUAUGUAAAGCUCUAUCAGCAGGGAAGAUAAUGACGGUACCUGACUAAGAAGCACCGGCUAAAUACGUGCCAGCAGCCGCGGUAAUACGUAUGGUGCAAGCGUUAUCCGGAUUUACUGGGUGUAAAGGGAGCGCAGGCGGUGCGGCAAGUCUGAUGUGAAAGCCCGGGGCUCAACCCCGGUACUGCAUUGGAAACUGUCGUACUAGAGUGUCGGAGGGGUAAGCGGAAUUCCUAGUGUAGCGGUGAAAUGCGUAGAUAUUAGGAGGAACACCAGUGGCGAAGGCGGCUUACUGGACGAUAACUGACGCUGAGGCUCGAAAGCGUGGGGAGCAAACAGGAUUAGAUACCCUGGUAGUCCACACGGUAAACGAUGAAUACUCGCUGUUUGCGAUAUACAGCAAGCGGCCAAGCGAAAGCGUUAAGUAUUCCACCUGGGGAGUACGUUCGCAAGAAUGAAACUCAAAGGAAUUGACGGGGGCCCGCACAAGCGGUGGAGCAUGUGGUUUAAUUCGAAGCAACGCGAAGAACCUUACCAGGUCUUGACAUCGAUCUAAAGGCUCCAGAGAUGGAGAGAUAGCUAUAGAGAAGACAGGUGGUGCAUGGUUGUCGUCAGCUCGUGUCGUGAGAUGUUGGGUUAAGUCCCGCAACGAGCGCAACCCUUAUCUUUAGUAGCCAGCGGUCCGGCCGGGCACUCUAGAGAGACUGCCAGGGAUAACCUGGAGGAAGGCGGGGAUGACGUCAAAUCAUCAUGCCCCUUAUGACUUGGGCUACACACGUGCUACAAUGGCGUAAACAAAGGGAAGCAAAGCUGUGAAGCCGAGCAAAUCUCAAAAAUAACGUCUCAGUUCGGACUGUAGUCUGCAACCCGACUACACGAAGCUGGAAUCGCUAGUAAUCGCAGAUCAGAAUGCUGCGGUGAAUACGUUCCCGGGUCUUGUACACACCGCCCGUCACACCAUGGGAGUUGGGAAUGCCCGAAGCCAGUGACCUAACCGAAAGGAAGGAGCUGUCGAAGGCAGGCUCGAUAACUGGGGUG
rnacentral:rRNA from 1 species